UUUGAAGAACAAAACAACUUCCAAAGCUGAGUCUUGAGUAACAAAGCUCAUUGCUUAUGGAGGAAACAAACAGAACUUUGCAAAGGAAAACAAGAACAAAAACGAAAAGAAAAAAAAUAGAGCAUAAAAUGAAUGAAAUUCAAUGAUUUUCAUUAAGAAGAAAACAUUGGCAUAUAGCCAUUACAUAUUUCAGUCAGUGACUGAACAAAAACAAAGCAAACUUCACCUAAUGCUUACCUAAUACGACUAAUUACAUGGAAACUAGGAAAAAUAACUUGUACUCAUAAACAAAGCUGAUUUAUC
rnacentral:lncRNA from 1 species